rnacentral:rRNA from 1 species
GUAUACCGGUAAGGAGUGCUGGAGCGAAUAGAAGUGAGCAUGCAGGCAUGAGUAGCGAUAAUUAAUGUGAGAAUCAUUAACGCCGUAAACCCAAGGUUUCCUACGCGAUGCUCGUCAUCGUAGGGUUAGUCGGGUCCUAAGUCGAGUCCGAAAGGGGUAGACGAUGGCAAAUUGGUUAAUAUUCCAAUACCAACAUUAGUGUGCGAUGGAAGGACGCUUAGGGCUAAGGGGGCUAGCGGAUGGAAGUGCUAGUCUAAGGUCGUAGGAGGUUAUACAGGCAAAUCCGUAUAACAAUACUCCGAGAACUGAAAGGCUUUUUGAAGUCUUCGGAUGGAUAGAAGAACCCCUGAUGCCGUCGAGCCAAGAAAAGUUUCUAAGUUUAGCUAAUGUUGCCCGUACCGUAAACCGACACAGGUGGGUGGGAUGAGUAUUCUAAGGCGCGUGGAAGAACUCUCUUUAAGGAACUCUGCAAAAUAGCACCGUAUCUUCGGUAUAAGGUGUGGUUAGCUUCGUACUAGGAUUUACUCCGAAAGCGAAGAAACUUACAACAAAGAGUCCCUCCCGACUGUUUACCAAAAACACAGCACUCUGCUAACUCGUAAGAGGAUGUAUAGGGUGUGACGCCUGCCCGGUGCUCGAAGGUUAAUUGAUGGGGUUAGCAUUAGCGAAGCUCUUGAUCGAAGCCCGAGUAAACGGCGGCCGUAACUAUAACGGUCCUAAGGUAGCGAAAUUCCUUGUCGGUUAAAUACCGACCUGCAUGAAUGGCGUAACGAGAUGGGAGCUGUCUCAAAGAGGGAUCCAGUGAAAUUGUAGUGGAGGUGAAAAUUCCUCCUACCCGCGGCAAGACGGAAAGACCCCGUGGACCUUUACUACAGCUUGACACUGCUACUUGGAUAAGAAUGUGCAGGAUAGGUGGGAGGCUUUGAGUAUAUGACGCCAGUUGUAUAUGAGCCAUUGUUGAGAUACCACUCUUUCUUAUUUGGGUAGCUAACCAGCUUGAGUUAUCCUCAAGUGGGACAAUGUCUGGUGGGUAGUUUGACUGGGGCGGUCGCCUCCCAAAUAAUAACGGAGGCUUACAAAGGUUGGCUCAGAACGGUUGGAAAUCGUUCGUAGAGUAUAAAGGUAUAAGCCAGCUUAACUGCAAGACAUACAAGUCAAGCAGAGACGAAAGUCGGUCUUAGUGAUCCGGUGGUUCUGUGUGGAAGGGCCAUCGCUCAAAGGAUAAAAGGUACCCCGGGGAUAACAGGCUGAUCUCCCCCAAGAGCUCACAUCGACGGGGAGGUUUGGCACCUCGAUGUCGGCUCAUCGCAUCCUGGGGCUGGAGCAGGUCCCAAGGGUAUGGCUGUUCGCCAUUUAAAGCGGUACGCGAGCUGGGUUCAGAACGUCGUGAGACAGUUCGGUCCCUAUCUGCCGUGGGCGUAAGAAGAUUGAAGAGAUUUGACCCUAGUACGAGAGGACCGGGUUGAACAAACCACUGGUGUAGCUGUUGUUCUGCCAAGAGCAUCGCAGCGUAGCUAAGUUUGGAAAGGAUAAACGCUGAAAGCAUCUAAGCGUGAAGCCAACUCUAAGAUGAAUCUUCUCUAAGCUCUCUAGAAGACUACUAGUUUGAUAGGCUGGGUGUGUAAUGGAUGAAAGUCCUUUAGCUGACCAGUACUAAUAGAGCGUUUGGCUUAUCUUU